AGAGAGCCUUCACAACAGCAACAAAACAUACAUAAGAAACUAAUAUGUUUUUUUUUUUUGAUAACCGGUGUCCGGCGGGCCGAACCCAACCGACUAAUUCCUUGGGACCUGUCCACCGGCGCCAGACAGAUCCGGUUGCUAGCAAGGAGAAUCAAAUACUCAUGUCGUCUGGCCACACAAACGGGUCUGGCCACACAAACGGGUCUGGCAACACAAACGGGUAAAUCUAAAUUUGGAAAACUUAAAGGUUAUUGAUGAACACAACACACCUAAGUGGGAUGCUCUCCAGGACCAUCACCUGCAUUGAUGACAGCAGAGGAAAACUCUCUAGCGUUCUCGGUGGUUAAGACUUCACCUCCCAAGCGUUUCAUGGCAGAUUCGAAGGAGAGCCUGGUGCAUGUAGAAGGCUCGUAAAAGAGUGUAGCCAUUAGAUACCCCUUGAGUAUUUCA